rnacentral:rRNA from 1 species
AGCUCCAAUAGCGUAUAUUUAAGUUGUUGCAGUUAAAAAGCUCGUAGUUGGAUUUCGGGUGGGACGCAGCGGUCUCGCAUUGCGUUUGUACUGCUGCAGCCCUCCUUCUUGCCGGGGGCGGCCUGUCGGACUUCACCGUCUGCGGGUCAGAAUCGGCGAUGUUACUUUGAGUAAAUUAGAGUGUUCAAAGCAAGCUUACGCUCUGAAUAUAAUAGCAUGGGAUAACACGACAGGACUCUGGCCUAUCGUGUUGGUCUAUAGGACCAGAGUAAUGAUUAAGAGGGACAGUCGGGGGCAUUCGUAUUCCGUUGUCAGAGGUGAAAUUCUUGGAUUUACGGAAGACGAACAUCUGCGAAAGCAUUUGCCAAGGAUGUUU